rnacentral:rRNA from 1 species
AGAGUUUGAUCCUGGCUCAGAACGAACGCUGGCGGCGCGCCUAAUACAUGCAAGUCGAGCGAGAAGGUGUAGCAAUACACUUGUAAAGCGGCGAACGGGUGAGGAAUACAUGGGUAAUCUACCAUCGAGUGGGGAAUAACCAACCGAAAGGUUGGCUAAUACCGCGUACGCCUCCGAGUCUUCGGGUUCGGAGGGAAAGCUGCACUGUGAGUGUAGCGCUCUUUGAUGAGCUCAUGUCCUAUCAGCUUGUUGGUAGGGUAACGGCCUACCAAGGCUAUGACGGGUAGCUGGUCUGAGAGGACGAUCAGCCACACUGGCACUGCGACACGGGCCAGACUCCUACGGGAGGCAGCAGUAAGGAAUAUUGCGCAAUGGGCGAAAGCCUGACGCAGCGACGCCGCGUGGGGGAUGAAGGUCUUCGGAUUGUAAACCCCUUUCGGGAGGGAAGAUGGAGCGAGCAAUCGUUCGGACGGUACCUCCAGAAGCAGCCACGGCCAACUUCGUGCCAGCAGCCGCGGUAAUACGAAGGUGGCAAGCGUUGUUCGGAUUCACUGGGCGUACAGGGUGUGUAGGCGGUUUGGUAAGCCUUCUGUUAAAGCUUCGGGCCCAACCCGGAAAGCGCAGAGGGUACUGCCAGGCUAGAGGGUGGGAGAGGAGCGCGGAAUUCCCGGUGUAGCGGUGAAAUGCGUAGAGAUCGGGAGGAAGGCCGGUGGCGAAGGCGGCGCUCUGGAACAUACCUGACGCUGAGACACGAAAGCGUGGGGAGCAAACAGGAUUAGAUACCCUGGUAGUCCACGCCGUAAA